rnacentral:rRNA from 1 species
AUUGAACGCUGGCGGCAGGCCUAACACAUGCAAGUCGAGCGAGCGGCGGACUGGUGAGUAAUGUAUGGGGACUGCCCGAUAGAGGGGGAUAACUACUGGAAACGGUGGCUAAUACCUCUUACUAUCGUAUAACCCAUUUGUGAUUAGCUAGUAGGUGGGGUAAAGGCUCACGUAGGAGACUAUCUCUAGCUGGUCUGAGAGGAUGAUCAGCCACACUGGUACUGAGACACGGCCCAGACUCCUACGGAGGCAGCAGUGGGGAAUAUUGCACAAUGGGCGCAAGCCUGAUGCAGCCAUGCCGCGUGUAUGAAGAAGGCCUUAGGGUUGUAAAGUACUUUCAUCGGGGAGGCGUUACCCGAAGAAGAAGCAACGGCUAACUCCGUGCCAGCAGCCGCGGUAAGUG